AAGGCCUUAUGUUAAAAAAACAAAUAGCCUUCAAAGCUAUAAAUAAGGCAAGCAGCCUUAGGCCUUA
rnacentral:tRNA from 1 species